ACUAGGGCCAGGCUGUGGUUAGAAGGAAAGGGACAUGCUGGAAUCCAACAGGGUUGAGACCCUUGCUUGGGACAGAAGAACCUAACUUGACUGCUUCUCCUAUGUACUUGGCACUCUGCCAGGCUCUGAGGCGGAUGCAAGGGUCAAAGGCACAGCGUCUGCAUUCCUGGAGCCCACAGUCCGGAAUCCAGUGAGGAGACGAACCAAAUAAGCAAGCAAACAAAAUUAUAUCUGUUUAUGCACACACAUA